GGGUGUUAUAAGACCUGCUAACUCUUUUUCCUGGAAAUAAUUAACCAGCUCCCUCUAC
rnacentral:tRNA from 1 species